AUUGAACGCUGGCGGCAGGCCUAACACAUGCAAGUCGAGCGGGGUUUUCGGACCUAGCGGCGGACGGGUGAGUAAUGCGUAGGAAGCUGCCCGAUAGAGGGGGAUACCAGUUGGAAACGACUGUUAAUACCGCAUAAUGUCUACGGACCAAAGUGUGGGACCUUCGGGCCACAUGCUAUCGGAUGCGCCUACGUGGGAUUAGCUAGUUGGUGAGGUAAUGGCUCACCAAGGCGACGAUCUCUAGCUGGUUUGAGGGGAUGAUCAGCCACACUGGAACUGCGACACGGUCCAGACUGCUACGGGAGGCAGCAGUGGGGAAUAUUGGACAAUGGGCGCAAGCCUGAUCCAGCCAUGCCGCGUGCGUGAAGAAGGCCUUCGGGUUGUAAAGCACUUUCAGCGAGGAGGAAGGGUGGUGUGUUAAUAGCACAUCAUUUUGACGUUUCUCGCAGAAGAAGCACCGGCUAACUCUGUGCCAGCAGCCGCCGUAA
rnacentral:rRNA from 1 species